rnacentral:rRNA from 1 species
CCGGGCAUGAAGGGUGAGACGUGACGCAUAGCCGUUUGAGGCGAAGUAGGGUGAUCCCAUGCUGCCGAGAAAAGCCUCUAGCGAGUUCUAGCGCGGCCCGUACCCCAAACCGACACAGGUGGUCAGGUAGAGAAUACCAAGGCGAUCGAGCGAACUAUGGUUAAGGAACUCGGCAAAAUACCUCCGUAACUUCGGGAGAAGGAGGACCGGUGGCCUUGAAGCCCUUUGCGGGCUAGGGGUUGUCGGUCGCAGAGACCAGGCCCAAGCGACUGUUUACUAAAAACACAGGUCCGUGCGAAGUCGUAAGACGAUGUAUACGGACUGACGCCUGCCCGGUGCUGGAACGUUAAGAGGACCUGUUAGCCGUAAGGCGAAGCGGAGAAUUUAAGCGCCAGUAAACGGCGGUGGUAACUAUAACCAUCCUAAGGUAGCGAAAUUCCUUGUCGGGUAAGUUCCGACCUGCACGAAUGGCGUAACGACUUGGGCGCUGUCUCAACCAUAGACUCGGCGAAAUUGCACUACGAGUAAAGAUGCUCGUUACGCGCGGCAGGACGGAAAGACCCCGGGACCUUUACUAUAGCUUGGUAUUGGUGCUCGGUUCGGAUUGUGUAGGAUAGGUGGGAGACUGUGAAGUCGCAACGCUAGUUGUGGUGGAGUCGCCGUUGAAAUACCACUCUGUUCGAAUUGGGUGUCUAACCUCGGACCAUGAUCUGGUUCAGGGACAGUGCCUGGUGGGUAGUUUAACUGGGGCGGUUGCCUCCCAAAAAGUAACGGAUGCGCCCAAAGGUUCCCUCAGCCUGGUUGGCAAUCAGGUGUUGAGUGUAAGUGCACAAGGGAGCUUGACUGUGAGACAGACAUGUCGAGCAGGGACGAAAGUCGGGACUAGUGAUCCGGCACCACCUGGUGGAAGGGGUGUCGCUCAACGGAUAAAAGGUACCCCGGGGAUAACAGGCUGAUCUUGCCCAAGAGUCCAUAUCGACGGCAUGGUUUGGCACCUCGAUGUCGGCUCGUCGCAUCCUGGGGCCGGAGUAGGUCCCAAGGGUUGGGCUGUUCGCCCAUUAAAGCGGCACGCGAGCUGGGUUUAGAACGUCGUGAGACAGUUCGGUCCCUAUCCGCCGCGCGCGCAGGAGACUUGAGGAAGGCUGUCCCUAGUACGAGAGGACCGGGACGGACGAACCUCUGGUGUGCCAGUUGUCCCGCCAGGGGCACCGCUGGUUGGCUACGUUCGGAAGGGAUAACCGCUGAAGGCAUCUAAGCGGGAAGCUCGUUCCAAGAUGAGGUCUCCCACCACCUUCGCGUGGUUAAGGCCCCCCACAGACCAUGGGGUUGAUAGGCCAGAAAUGGAAGCACAGCAAUGUGUGGAGUUGACUGGUACUAAUAGGCCGAGGGCUUCACCC